UACGGAGGAUCCAAGCGUUAUCCGGAUUUAUUGGGUUUAAAGGGUGCGUAGGCGGCCUAUUAAGUCAGGGGUGAAAGACGGUAGCUUAACUAUCGCAGUGCCUUUGAUACUGAUGGGCUUGAAUACACUAGAGGUAGGCGGAAUGUGACAAGUAGCGGUGAAAUGCAUAGAUAUGUCACAGAACACCAAUUGCGAAGGCAGCUUACUAUGGUGCAAUUGACGCUGAGGAGCGAAAGCGUGGGGAGCGAACAGG
rnacentral:rRNA from 1 species